rnacentral:ncRNA from 1 species
GUUUACUUGCUGCCGAGUAAGUAAAUUGCAUUUAUGUAUGUAUCAUUAGGCCGUUGAAGAUACAUCGUAAAUGCAUUUUUUUG